rnacentral:rRNA from 1 species
CACCAGCGCCACAAGUGGGGACCAGUAUUAUUGGGCCUAAAGCGUCCGUAGCAGGACUUGUAAAUCCUUUGUGAAAUUGUUGGGCUUAACCUAACAGCGUGCAGGGGACACUGCAAGUCUUGAGACCGGGAGGAGUCAGAGGUAUUCAUGGGGUAGCGGUAAAAUGCAAUAAUCCUAUGAAGACCACCUGUGGCGGAGGCGUCUGACUAGAACGGGUCUGACUGUGAGGGACGAAAGCUGGGGGAGCGAUCCGG